rnacentral:rRNA from 1 species
AACGAACGCUGGCGGCAUGCCUAACACAUGCAAGUCGAACGAGACCUUCGGGUCUAGUGGCGCACGGGUGCGUAACGCGUGGGAACCUGCCCUUAGGUUCGGAAUAACUCCCCGAAAGGAGUGCUAAUACCGGAUAAUGUCUUCGGACCAAAGAUUUAUCGCCUUUGGAUGGGCCCGCGUUGGAUUAGCUAGUUGGUAGGGUAAAAGCCUACCAAGGCGACGAUCCAUAGCUGGUCUGAGAGGAUGAUCAGCCACACUGGGACUGAGACACGGCCCAGACUCCGACGGGAGGCAGCAGUGGGGAAUAUUGGACAAUGGGCGAAAGCCUGAUCCAGCAAUGCCGCGUGAGUGAUGAAGGCCUUAGGGUUGUAAAGCUCUUUUACCCGGGAUGAUAAUGACAGUACCGGGAGAAUAAGCUCCGGCUAACUCCGG